GAUGAACGCUGGCGGCGUGCCUAAUACAUGCAAGUCGAGCGAACAGAUGAGGAGCUUGCUCCUCUGACGUUAGCGGCGGACGGGUGAGUAACACGUGGAUAACCUACCUAUAUGACUGGGAUAACUUCGGGAAACCGGAGCUAAUACCGGAUAAUAUAUUGAACCGCAUGGUUCAAUAGUGAAAGACGGUUUUGCUGUCACUUAUAGAUGUAUCCGCGCCGCAUUAGCUAGUUGGUAAGGUAACGGCUUACCAAGGCAACGAUGCGUAGCCGACCUGAGAGGGUGAUCGGCCACACUGGAACUGAGACACGGUCCAGACUCCUACGGGAGGCAGCAGUAGGGAAUCUUCCGCAAUGGGCGAAAGCCUGACGGAGCAACGCCGCGUGAGUGAUGAAGGUCUUCGGAUCGUAAAACUCUGUUAUUAGGGAAGAACAAAUGUGUAAGUAACUAUGCACGUCUUGACGGUACCUAAUCAGAAAGCCACGGCUAACUACGUG
rnacentral:rRNA from 1 species